CCCGGCCCACACGCGCUGGCGCCGCUUCUGCAGAGCAGCCAAAAAAAGCCGCGGGCGAGGGUCCAGGUCCCCCCGCGCCGGGCCCCACCCCAGCUCCGGGGCAGCUGGGCCCCGACCCCAGCAGGCCGCCAGGCUGAGUCACCCUCCCGGAUCCAGUCCUAAUUCCGAGGUGGAACAUUCCCCGGGGCUGAGGUCAGGCGGCCAGGCCUGGGGACAGGUCUCGGGUCACCGCGCCCCAAGGGCGUGGCGUGGGCGGAGGCGCACCGGGCGGCACGGGGGUGCGCUAGCCUCGGGAGAAGGCCUUCCAGGUGGACUGGACAUCUGUGGGAGCCCUGCGCCCCGGCCCUGCGCCCCGGCCCUGCGCUCCGGCCUCCGCGGCCUCCCCAGCGCUGUGCCUUUAAACCCCGCCCGGGUCUAAAUCGGCCCCGCUGCUAAUCCCGACCUGGGUUGAUCCGCCGGCGCGGCCCCCGCCCUCGGGAAUGCGCCAGGUGAGCUCCGCCCUCGGUCUCCGAGCCCAGCCUCCAGCCUCGCGGGGAGUUUUUAGCCCCCUAAGCCCUGGCCUGCAACUGCUCUCAAAUUCCUGGCGGCCCCCGCUGGCCUGGGGGAGGCCGAGGCCGCAGCUGUGCCCGCUGGGCCGGUUCCAUUUUUAUUUCGGCCGGGCCUGCCUGCUCUCCCGCGUCUUCCUCUAGGUGGCAGGGGACUGGACCUGGUCUGCAGUGACCGGUGCCUGCUCGGCCUCUUCCACCCACGUCCUCUCUGCUGCCCGGGAGCCUCGCCAAGGGAGGCGCCACCCUUGUGAGGCAGCCCUGUCUGCCCAGGUCCGCCACUCAGCCCUGGGAGGUCACUAUCAUUGCCCAGGGGUCCAGCCUGCACCUCCUGGGCUCCCCAGGCCCAGCUCCCCAGGACCGGCCUCUCCCCUGGGUGUGAUCCUGCCCAGCUGCAGGCUCAGAAUCCUCUCCUGGUACUGAGGCAGAGACCACUCUCCCAGCCCUGUGCACAAGCAGAACUUGGUCUGCCCAGUGGAAUAGCAUACAGCCAUGCAAAGGAGUGAGGCUGCACCUGCCACAAUGUGGAUGCACCUUGGGGACGUGGUGCUCGGCCCCCCAGCCUCCCCUGCCUGCCCGACCGUCACCCUGGGCCUCUGUUCCCGCUGGCCCUGUGCCCGGAGCUCCUCUGCACGUGUCCACUCUGCUCCCGGCCUCUCACCCCAGCCGUGUCUCAGCCACGCAUGUGCGCAACACACACACAAGUGCAUGCAUAACGGGGGCACAUCUCCUUGCCAUGUCCUGCCUCCUCAUCACAGAAGGAGUCCUGCAAAGGGGCAGAUGCGCAGCUGGACAGAGGGACAGAAACCAGAGCCACGCCCGGUAUUCAUAGUGGACCAAUGCUGCACGUCCACCUCGACAGACGCAGGACGAGUCUCUGACGCACAGAACUCCAAAACCCGUUCGUGAUGAGACGCGACAGACUCCAGAGGGGAAAGACUUGCUGGGACAGGUCCUCGCCAAGCAGAGCCAGCGUCCAGGCACUCCCUCCCUGGUGACCUCGGGUGCCCAGGGAGAGUCUCCCCCGCUGCAGGAGGAGCCAGGGAGGCCCUGCCACCGACCCACAGCUCCACUGACCGUGACUCCUCUCCCACGGCCACCCAGGAGACCGUGACUCCGUGUCUCUGACUGUCCCAGACGUGGGACAAGGGAAUUGGGUCCUGACUUCCUUUCUCUUUGUCACUUCAGGAACUGAUCACACAGAGCCAGGCACCACGGUGCACGCCUGUCAUCCCAGCGGCUCUGGAGGCUGAGGCAGGAGGAUGGAGUGUUGGAGGCCAGCCUCAGCAACUUAGUGAGGCUCUAGGCAACUUGGGGAAACCCUGUCUCUAAAUGAAAACAUAAAGAGGGCUGGGCCGUGGCUCAGGGGUGCAGCACCCGGGGGGGUCAGGCCCCAGCACCAACUCGGCCACCACGUCACCUGUUGUGCAGGACACAGCUCCUUCCCCGCGGGUGUGCGUCCUUUCUACAAAGUCCUGACGCUCCCCGUCCUCUCUGCCCUUCAGAGGCACCUUGUCCUUGCCGCUGUGGCAGUGGACGGUCCCUCUGCGUGGCCGUCCACCCUGCGUCUGUCUCCCACUGGCCACGCUCUCCUUCCUGGCACUCGGGGUGUUGGAAAGCUCGGGACCCCGGCUCAGCCCAGGAUCACGUUACUGAACGAGCCCAGCUCUCGGGGGUCCGAGGGGCGUGGAUCUGGUGGGUGGGGAGGGCGAGGGCCGGUGACCCCUGCCUCCCUGCUUUUCCUCACAUGCUGUCCGUCUG